GAUGAAGAACGCAGCGAAAUGCGAUAAGUAGUGUGAUUUGCAGAAUUCAGUGAAUCAUCGAAUCUUUGAACGCACAUUGCGCCCCUUGGUAUUCCAUGGGGCAUGCCUGUUCGAGCGUCAUUUGUACCCUCAAGCUUUGCUUGGUGUUGGGCGUCUUGUCGUAUUACGACUCGCCUUAAAUACAUUGGCAGCCGGCACUUUGGCCUAGGAGCGCAGCACAUUUUGCGAUCGUAGCCCGUUGUACUGGCGUCCAUCAAGAACAUUUACCACGUUUGACCUCGGAUCAGGUAGGGAUACCCGCUGAACUUAAGCAUAUCAAUAAGCGGAGGA
rnacentral:misc_RNA from 1 species